GGAGGGUACAGCUCAAGUGGUAGAGCACAUGCUUAGCAUGCAUGAGGUCCUGGGUUCAAUCCUCUGAACCUCCU
rnacentral:tRNA from 1 species